rnacentral:rRNA from 1 species
UACGAAGGGGGCUAGCGUUGCUCGGAAUUACUGGGCGUAAAGGGCGCGUAGGCGGAUAUUUAAGUUAGAGGUGAAAGCCCAGGGCUCAACCCUGGAAUAGCCUUUAAUACUGGAUAUCUUGAGUUCGGGAGAGGUGAGUGGAACUCCGAGUGUAGAGGUGAAAUUCGUAGAUAUUCGGAAGAACACCAGUGGCGAAGGCGACUCACUGGCCCGAUACUGACGCUGAGGCGCGAAAGCGUGGGGAGCAAACAG